AUUGAACGCUGGCGCCAUGCUUUACACAUGCAAGUCGAACGGUAACAGGCCGCAAGGUGUUGACGAGUGGCGAACGGCUGAGUAAUGCAUCGGAACGUGCCCAGUUGUGGGGGAUAACGCAGCGAAAGCUGUGCUAAUACCGCAUACGACCUCUGGAUGAAAGCGGGGGACCGGACGUCCCAGCGCCAUUGGCGCCGGCGAAGUCAGAUGAGGUAGUUGGUGGGGUAAAGGCUCACCAAGCCAACGAUCUGUAGCUGGACGGAGAGGACGAUCAGCCACACUGGGACUGAGACACGGCCCAGACUCCGACGGUAGGCAGCAGUUGGGAAUUUUGGACAAUGGGCGCAAGCCUGAUCCACCAAUGCCACGUGCAGGAAGAAGGCCUUCGGGUUGUAAACUGCUUUUGUACGGAACGAAAAGGUUUGGGUUAAUACCCUGGGCCGAUGACGGUACCGUAAGAAUAAGCACCGGCUAACUACGUGCCAGCCGCCGCAGUAA
rnacentral:rRNA from 1 species